rnacentral:tRNA from 1 species
UCCUUCGUGGUGUAGUGGUCAGCACACUCGGCGCGUAUUCGAGAGGUCCGUGGUUCAAGUCCCGGCGAGGGCA